rnacentral:tRNA from 1 species
GGCUCGGUAGCUUAGUUGGUAAAGCACUUCGUUUAUAAGGGUCGUGAGUUCAAAUCUCACCUGAGCUG